rnacentral:rRNA from 1 species
UACGUAGGUGGCAAGCGUUAUCCGGAUUUAUUGGGCGUAAAGGGAACGCAGGCGGUCUUUUAAGUCUGAUGUGAAAGCCUUCGGCUUAACCGGAGUAGUGCAUUGGAAACUGGGAGACUUGAGUGCAGAAGAGGAGAGUGGAACUCCAUGUGUAGCGGUGAAAUGCGUAGAUAUAUGGAAGAACACCAGUGGCGAAAGCGGCUCUCUGGUCUGUAGCUGACGCUGAGAUUCGAAAGCGUGGGUAGCAAACAGG